rnacentral:lncRNA from 1 species
UUACAGGCUCAGGAAAGAGGAGCAGUAAUAAGUCCAGUCUCGGGUUAAUCCAUCAUAUUCUAGGCCUUGUGCUUAAGUCUUGACCUGCAGAAUGUCAAGUCUCCUGCACCCAAGCCUGUGAGCCAGUGCCAUGUCAUCUCCAUUCCUCCUGGAAGAUGAGGAGAUUGGGCUGAGAGCAGCUGGAACCCUGUCCAAGACCCACAGAACUGCAGAAUGUCCAAGCCCUUCGAAGUGAGCUGCUGCACAUCCUCUACCGCUGAUGUGGAGACUGAGGUGCAGAGAGAUGUGAGUUGGCUGCCAUCUACUCACUAUGGGCCAGGACCCAGGUCUCUGGGGUGGGUGCAUUUCCCACCAUCCCUCCUGUUCCAGAUGCUGGAAGUCAGCAUCUUUUCAUCCCAGCAGGGAGAUUCAGGUGGCCUCUCCUAAACCCCCACAGGGUUACUGCUGGGAGUGCAGUGCCAUCUAGGGUGCCCAUCUGUGUGAACUGCCGGGAGUGGGUGCUGCAGCCACAGAGGGCCUGGUCACUACACUCAAGCCCAUGCUCCAGCACCUGGAGAGCAGGUGCUCUGUGCUCUGGCUGACGGCUCUGAGAAAACCAAGCUAACUCCAGCAGCUGCCUUCUUUGGGGCUGCACCGGGAGAAAGUGUUAGCGUAAGGACUCUGCUGCCCUCUCGUGGCCUCACUUGGGUAUGGCUGCUGCCAUUCAGGCCGCUGGUGGCUCACCUGCUCCGAGCUAUGGAAAUCUCUCUCCUAAUUGCCUUUGCCUGGACUCUAAGAGGCCUGGAUGGGGUGGAUAUCAUCCCUUCUAUCAUACCGCUUAGGCCAUGCCUUGUUCCUUGUCGGAUUCUGGAGGAAGAGGGCCUCAGGUCAACAGGAGAGGCCUAGCCUGUGUUACCCAGAAUGCUUGGGUGUGGGGAGAGACGUGGUGGUUCCCACAGACACAACCUAAUCAACCAACACCAGACAGGAUGGUUUGAAAAUUUAGAGGAUAUUUAUUUCUCAGGAAGGUG